rnacentral:rRNA from 1 species
GACGUAGGGCGCGAGCGUUGUCCGGAUUUAUUGGGCGUAAAGAGCUCGUAGGCGGCUUGUCGCGUCGAAUGUGAAAACUCGGGGCUCAACCCCGCGCUUGCAUUCGAUACGGGCAGGCUCGAGUUCGGUAGGGGAGACUGGAAUUCCUGGUGUAGCGGUGAAAUGCGCAGAUAUCAGGAGGAACACCGAUGGCGAAGGCAGGUCUCUGGGCCACUACUGACGCUGAGAAGCGAAAGCAUGGGGAGCGAACAGG